AUACGUAGGAGGCGAGCGUUGCCCGGAUUUAUUGGGCGUAAAGGGCGCGUAGGCGGCCUGGAAAGUCUUUUGUGAAAUCUCCCGGCUUAACCGGGAAGGGUCAGAAGAUACUUCCAGACUUGAGGGGAGUAGAGGAGAACGGAAUUCCCGGUGUAGCGGUGAAAUGCAUAGAUAUCGGGAGGAACACUAGUGGCGAAGGCGGUUCUCUGGGCUCAACCUGACGCUGAGGCGCGAAAGCGUGGGGAGCAAACCGGAUUAGAUACCCCGGUAGUCC
rnacentral:rRNA from 1 species